rnacentral:rRNA from 1 species
AAAGGGUGCGUAGGCGGCGAUGUAAGUCGAGUGUGAAAUUUCGGAGCUCAACUCCGAAACUGCACUCGAUACUGCGUUGCUAGAGGAUUGUAGAGGAGUGUGGAAUUCUUGGUGUAGCAGUGAAAUGCGUAGAUAUCAAGAGGAAGACCAGUGGCGAAGGCGACACUCUGGGCAAUUCCUGACGCUGAGGCACGAAGGCCAGGGGAGCAAACGGGAUUAGAUACCCGAGU